UGGGGAGCGAGAAGCUACCCUUGUUCAAGCACUUGAAUAAUUGAGGCAGACUCUUAGUAGAACAGAGCAGCAGGCAGUUUUUAGAGAGGACAUGGUUCGAAGAGACAUUGAUGAUCUUCAAAGAUUGGGUGGAGGCAGCCAUGAUACGAUUGGAUAUGAGUGAAUAUAUAGAGCGGCAAAGAAAGUAGUUGGCAAGAUUAAAGUGGAAGGUUAGUUUUCAAUGGUAUAAACCGAAUGUGGGUGCUAAUUGAUGAAUUUUUAGGGAUUCUAUGCCCACUUUUUAGUCUUAAGCACAACCUGUGAAGUGAUAUGAGCUUAGCUAUAGGAACUUUCUGCUCAAGAUGCCACUCCUGCUUCCUUUCCCAUUCGAAGUUGUGAUGCUGCUACAAUUUUCUUUUUUCUAAGAAUUUCAACCAUUGUGGUAUUGGAUGCUCCAGGCCUGGUCAUAUGGAGAACUUUGUCUUGGUUUUUAAUUAAUUGUGGGCUUUUCUAUCAUAUUACUGUUCUUUUUAGAGAAUGUGCAAAUGAAGUGGUGAGCUUUCACAAUUUUUGCUUCAGUUAUUUUCUCUAGGAAUGCAACUAUAGAAGGAUUUAACUCUUGGAAUUACUUGAAGAUGCUCAUACCAGACAUGGACUGCUGGUCUAUGAUGGUAUGAUGCAUAUAGGCUUCUUCUCUUUUCUUUUGUAGGUUAUUAAAAAGAAAAAAAAUGUCAUUCCUGUUACUUCUGAUCAACCACUGGAGGUUAUAAAAAGUGUCUCAAAAUUUCAAGCCUUCAUUGUAUUAUAAAUUAGAGGUACAAUUGAUCUACAGUGGAAUGAUGGCCGCACACACAUUGAUGAAAAGAUGGCCAUUUAUAUUAAUUUUCUUUUUUGGACGAUUAUUAGAGUAAAUUGGUGUAUAGUGAGAGUCCUUAACAUAAUUUCUUUUUGCAAGAAGUGUAUGCUCAAAGUAAUAUAAAAUCUUGAGAACUCAUUGAUCUACUUGCAGCUCAACCAAGUCCUUUCAGUUGGCCUAGCCUCUUGAGUCCAAAAUUGACCUAUUACAUUACCAACCUAGCAAAUUUCUUCUGACAGUUCACUUGGACUGCAAAAUCAAAAUACCAGUUUUCUGAAUUGACUUCCAAAAAUAUCGAAUUAGAAUUAUAAGCUAGCACAUAAUUGGAUGCAUCUCAUGCUUGUCUACUCUCAUCGUUCAAAUCUGAAAUUGCUUGGCACGAUGCAAACUAUGCCCAGAUAUUGGAAUACCUUCGAGAUGAGUAUGAGCCUGCGCAACAUUUCGGAAGCCUCGAUUUCAAAUUGAAAUUUGUAGAGGUAUAGUCCUUCUUGCUAUUGUUGUUUCCCUUUGAAAUAAUGUCUUGUAGAGUUCAAUGUUCGUGAAGAAAGUUUGCAAUUGGUUUAAAACUCACCGAUUGAGCUAAAAUCAACUUUCUGGCUUUGCUGUGAGAA